rnacentral:rRNA from 1 species
GACGAACGCUGGCGGCGUGCUUAACACAUGCAAGUCGAACGGAAAGGCCCUGCUUUUGUGGGGUGCUCGAGUGGCGAACGGGUGAGUAACACGUGAGUAACCUGCCCUUGACUUUGGGAUAACUUCAGGAAACUGGGGCUAAUACCGGAUAGGAGCUCCUGCUGCAUGGUGGGGGUUGGAAAGUUUCGGCGGUUGGGGAUGGACUCGCGGCUUAUCAGCUUGUUGGUGAGGUAGUGGCUUACCAAGGCUUUGACGGGUAGCCGGCCUGAGAGGGUGACCGGCCACAAUGGGCCUGAGAUACGGACCAGACUGCUACGGGAGGCAGCAGUGGGGAAUAUUGCACAAUGGGCGGAAGCCUGAUGCAGCAACGCCGCGUGCGGGAUGACGGCCUUCGGGUUGUAAACCGCUUUCGACUGUGACGAAGCGUGCGUGACGGUAAUGGGUCAAGAAGCACCGGCUAACUACGUG